rnacentral:misc_RNA from 1 species
UUGAAAUCCUUUGGAUGCUGCUGGCCUUUCGGGGCAUGUGCACUCCGCCUUUUCAUCUCACCUGUGAACUUAUUGUAGGCUGGAUUUGUUUUUACAUAUCUGUGUCUAUGUUAUUUUUUACACACACACACGCAAAGUCUAUCAGAAUGUCUUUUAAAGACCUUUAUUGGUCAAAAAAUUUAAUA